GGAUGCGAUCAUACCAGCACUAAAGCAUCGGAUCCCAUCACAACUCCGAAGUUAAGCGUGCUUGGGCGAGAGUAGUACUAGGAUGGGUGACCUCCUUGGAAGUCCUCGUGUUGCAUUCC
rnacentral:rRNA from 16 species